CAUUGCUAUUGCCAGAUGAGUGACAACUUUGUUUGGCUCAUUUUCUGUAACUAGUAAGCAUUUAAAAACAUGAUCC